GGAGGGUAUAGCUCAGUGGUAGAGUGUAUGCUUAGCAUGCAUGAGGUCCUGGGUUCAAUCCCCAGUACUUCCA
rnacentral:tRNA from 1 species